rnacentral:tRNA from 1 species
GAGGAUGUAACUAAGUUGGUAGAGUGCUUGUUUGGCAUGCAGGAAGUCCUGGGUUACAUCCACAGCACCCCA